UUCAUCUGCACCUCCUGCCCCUGCAGCCAAGAAAUGAUAAGCGGGGGCCGGGCUCGGUGGCUCACGCCUGUAAUCCCAGCACUUUGGGAGGCCGAGACGGGUGGAUCAUUUGAGCCCAAGAGUUUGAGACCAGCCUGGCCAACAUUGGGAAACCCUGUACUAAAAAUACAAAGCUGGGACUACAGACGCCUGCCACCAUGCCUGGCUAAUUUUUGUGUUUUCAGUAGAGACAGGGUUUCGCCAUGUUGGCCAGGCUGGUCUCAAACUCCUGAUCUCAGGUGAUCCACCCGCCCCAGCCUCCCAAAGUGCUGGGAUUACAGGCGUGAGCCACUUCGCCGAACCAGAUAUUUUGUUAUUUUUUAUUUAAUAUCCCAUUUCACAGAUGCAGAAACUAAGGCCGUGGUAAGUGAAUCAACAGCUUCGAGGAGGUAAACGGAAGAGCUGGGAUUGGACCUUGGGCAGCCUGACUCCAAAUUUCAUGCCCUUAAGUGCUUUGCCAAGUGUCACAGGGCAGAUGGCAUGGGCAGGGGCAGGGAGGAGCUACCUUCAUGAGCUUGAUGGCGAGCUCGGCCAAGUUAAGGGGCCAGUGGUUCACGUGACUCCCCGUGGCCCCGCAGUUCACAAAGCUCAGCUCCUGCCCCAGCAACUUCACGCUCAGCUCGCAUCGCAGAGCCUGCCGGGCCCCACGCCUCCGGGUCACCUGGGGGAGAGCCCAGACAGGUCACAAAGAACACAGUCAGGGUUAGCAGAGUGAUAUGGUUUGGCUGUGUCCCCACCCAAAUCUCAUCUCAUAGCUCCCAUAAUUCCCACAUGCUGUGGGAAGGACCCUAUGGGAGAUGACUGAAUCAUGGGGGCGGGUCCUUCCCGUGCUGUUCGCGUGAUAGUGAAUGGGGCUCAGGAGAUUCUAUGGUUUUAAAAAUGGGGGUUUCUCUGCACAAGCUCUUUCUUUGUCUGCUGUCAUCCAUGUAAGACGUGACUUCCUCUCCUUGCCUUCCACCAUGAUUUUGAAGCCUCCCCAGUCAGUUGGAACUGUAAAUCUAUUAAAUUUCUUUCUUUGGUAAAUUGCCCA
rnacentral:lncRNA from 1 species